rnacentral:rRNA from 1 species
CGCUGGCGGCGUGCCUAAUACAUGCAAGUCGAACGGUCUUUCUAUGGAAGCUUGCUUCCACUGAGAAGAUAGUGGCGGACGGGUGAGUAACACGUGGGUAACCUGCCCAUAAGAGGGGGAUAACAUCCGGAAACGGGUGCUAAUACCGCAUAGUUUUCUUGAUCGCAUGAUCGAGAAAGGAAAGACGGCCUUUGUGCUGUCGCUUAUGGAUGGACCCGCGGCGUAUUAGUUAGUUGGUGAGGUAAUGGCUCACCAAGACGAUGAUACGUAGCCGACCUGAGAGGGUGAUCGGCCACAUUGGGACUGAGACACGGCCCAAACUCCUACGGGAGGCAGCAGUAGGGAAUCUUCCGCAAUGGACGAAAGUCUGACGGAGCAACGCCGCGUGAGUGAAAGAAGGUUUUCGGAUCGUAAAACUCUGUUGUCAGAGAAGAACAAGUCGGAGAGUAACUGCUCCGGCCUUGACGGUAUCUGACCAGAAAGCCACGGCUAACUACGUGCCAGCCGCGGC